UUCUCUCUAAAGCUUCCCUUUAAUUUACGGUUUUAAACCUUCUCUAGUUCUAGUUUGUGAGUAAAUUGCGAGAGACCAAAAAUGAGUGUGGAGAUUUUGGAUGGUGCCACCAUUGUCAACUUUCUAGAGGACGAGGAAGCAUUCAACGCGCAAAUAUGUGACCGCUUCGCCCACCUUGAUUCAGACCAUGAUGGCCGGCUUUCCUACGGGGAAAUGUUGAAGGAGCUGCAGUGUUUGAGGUUAUUGGAAACCCACUUCGGCGUGGAUGUGGAAACAGACCCGGAUGAGCUUGCUCUCGUCUAUGAUUCUCUUUUUGUCCAAUUUGAUCAUGACUUGAAUGGGACAGUGGACUUGGAAGAGUUCAAGUCAGAGACCAAGCAAAUGAUGCUAGCCAUGGCCAGUGGUAUGGGUUUCUUGCCUGUUCAGAUGGUCCUGGAAGAAGACAGUUUCCUGAAGAAGGCUGUGGAGUGGGAAUCUGCUAAACUCGUUGCCUGAUUAAUUUCACAUCCAUUACCCUAUACAUGACUCAUUAAUUGUCUUUGUUAUUUCUUUCUUCUCCGAAUGCAUUCCAAGUUUAGCUGAAUGUAGCAAAGAAAAUAAAUGAAAUGCUCUGUUAUUGGUGAAGGUGCAAUUUGGUAUCUUAAAACUUGGUUCUCUCCUCAUGCAAUUUGGUCAUGACCAUCCAGCCAUAGUUAAUAUAACAAAAGGGAAUGGAAUUGGUAGAACAGAGUUGAAUCAAAAUGGGAAAAGAACUUGCGUGUGUCACGUCCAGGGGAACAGAUAAAAAUUAAAGAAAUACUGUCCUAAUAUAAAGUCCAGUUAAAUAAAAACUUGCAGGCGAAUCUGCCGUGCAAUUUAACUAGAUUUUGCGCUCUAAACACCUAAUUCCAUCAUGAUUUGUUUAGCAUGCGUAUGAAACAAACUUCCCACAUUGGAUCACAAAAACAAUGACAUCUCAGGAGAUGGAAUGAAAGAGAGAAUGCUUUCACCAAACAGCUCAAACAGGGAUACCAGAAGAUGCUCAUUAUUCAAGUCUUCAUUCAAACCUUGUUGAGAAUGUGAUGCGGAACAAUAAAUCAAAAAUAAAAAUAAAAAAUUAAAGUAGUAAAGAAUGAAGCUUUACAGAAAUAAGUUAAGAAUUAAAAGUAAAGCAAGGGAAAAGCCAGGGGAAAAAAAAAGAAUUGAAGAAGAAAAGUCUAUCAUUAUUAUUUAAUCAUAAAAAACUCUCCCAAAAAGUGAAAGAGAAACAUAUAAAUAGCAUAACCUUACAAUAUCCACUUAUUGGGUUCAACUCAUCAAUUAAAAUUUUCUAACAUAAAUAAGUCAAAUUAAUAAAAUAAAACAAUGAAAUAGGCCCAAAUGAGCUCAGUCUCCCAACCAAAAAGUGACAGGCUAGGUCAUUUUAUGUCGUCUUUGUCUAUAUACUCGUGUAAUUUGUGGUGUAAGUCUAAAGUCCCCACCAACUCUCCUAAUGUAGCUCUGGGUGACCUUGAUAACACUCCCAAAGUUCUGGAUCAAUCUGCUACAAAGUAUCUAUGGUGAUCUAAGUACAAUUUGAAUCAGGUCGGCCAACCCAAGAGUUAGAAACAGUUGAACCUCACUAUUCCAAGUAAAAAAAAACUUGUUCAUCCAAAAUGACAUCAAUAUUAUCCUUUUGUGUUCAGAUCAAGGUCAAAGGGGUAGAGGUUUCAAUAGGAUCAUCAAGAGGAGAGUUAGGUGGCAUCUCAAAUGGAUCAUUUGGAAUAGGAUGUUGUUUCUGGUAUGCAACUAAAUCCGCAGUGCUAAAUGUAAAGUUAAUGCCAAAAUCAAGUGGUAAAUCAAGAACAUAAACAUUUGGACCAACUCCUUGUAGCACUUUGAAUGGCCCUGCACUACGUGCAUGCAAUUUUCGAUUAGUUCCUGAAGGAAACUACUUGUGUCUAUUCCAUAUAAUAACUUAGUCUCCCACAUUAAAUUUAUUAUAUCAUCUAUGUAAAUAAGCUCAGAGUUUAUAUUGUGCAUUACUUGCUUGAAUUUGCUUAGUGAUCUAAAUAUGCAAAUUCUAAAUUUUACGUGUAAAAAACUUUGUUAACUCAAACACCUUAGUAUGAAGAGAUAUGGGAAGAAGGUUUAAAGGUUUCCUAGGCUUGUAACCAUGUACAACUUCAAAGGGACUCAUGCAAAUUGACCUAUUGACAGAACUCUUAUAUGCAAACUAGGUCAUAGGAAGAACCAAAUCCCAAUUCCUAUUAUGAUAACUCACUAGACACCUCAGAAAGUUGCCUAAUCUGGGUGGUAGGCACUAGAAAACUUCAACUGAGUUCCCACUAUAUGGCGAAGGGUUUUCUAGAAAUAACUCAUAAAUCUAACAUCCUUAUCUAAGACUAUGGUUUGGGGGAAAUCGUACAACUUGACAAUCUCGUUAAAAUAGAGUUCCGCAACUCUAGAAGCAUUUGUGAUCUUAGUACAAAAGAUAAAAUAGGUCAUCUUAGAGAAACAGUCGAAAACCAUAAAAAAGAAUCAUGCUUCUUUGCAGUACGUAGAAGCCCAAUCACAAAAUUCAUACUUACAUUUUGCCAAGGGCAAGUAGGAAAAGGUAACGGGGUGUAAAUACCAAUAUUUUGUUUUUUAUGCUUUGCUAGUUGACAUGUUCAACAUUGACCUCCCAACUUAGCUACAUCUCUUUCAAACUAGACAAAAAAAAUUGAUGUUCCCCCUCUUAAAUGGGUUUAUUUCUUCUAAAGUGUUCUGAAAGACCUCCAAUAUGAAUCUCCCAUACAAACUCCAGCAAGUUUAAAAUUAAAAUCCUACUACAACUUAGAAAAAACAUAGGCGGCUAUCUUUCCUUUAGUUUCAAGGAUAUCUUGGUCACUUUUACUUUUUCAUUACUUCAUAAUCUUCAGAGUAUGAUACCUUAUAGCUUCACGGUUACAAGUCAUUUCCUCAUUACUUUGGGUCUUUAAUGGGUUGUAUGGAAGACUAUAAAUAAGCCUUGAAUCAAUUCUGUAAUAUUUUCUUUCCUUCUCUUCUUCUCAUGGUAAAACAAAGAUUUAAUAUUAUGGGUUUUAUUUUAUUUUGUUUAUGCUUAAUUAAUAUAUUUUUUUCAGCUAGGAUCUAAGGCUUGUUUGGAUCAGGGUUUGGGCUUACUAGUAAAGGUUUUGAGUAAGUUUUUAUAUGUGGGUUAGUUUAGCCCACAAGGGUGGAUCCAUUUGGGUUAAUUUCUUAGAACAAUUUAAACACAUAUAAGCCUAAAUUUCACCAGCGAUUGAUAAAUAAUACUUGUGAAUUUUUUAAUUUUAACAUGUGAGAGAAAUUCUUGUAUUCUAUGGUUCUUAAACGAACUGAAUAUGACUUCUCAAAGUUUAAUUGGCUUCAUGACGUCAUUCGACAUCAUUCCAAUAAUGUUGGUGUCUCAGGAUAGGUUUUUAUUGUGUCACACUUCUAUUAGAUCAAUUUUGGCUUUUUAGGAUCAAAUUUUAAUCUUGAAUGUGGGUUGUGUGACCAUGUAUUCACGAGGUUCACAUCAGUGUUCAAGAGAUGCUAAUAAAUAUCUUUGAGUGGUAAAGGUAUGUCAAUAUUUGAUAAGGGCACUUGAGCAUCCAAUGACAUAGUGAGAUCCAAUUGGACAAGACUCCCAAUCUGAGAGCCAUUUCCCAAUUCAUAUUCUAUCAUACUUUAGAGUUCAUAUAUGGGGUUUCCUCGAAGGUGAUCCAUCCUACCUCAAUAAGCUAGAGGAGCUUGUCUUUAAAAGCAUAACAACUUUCAAUGUUAUGACCACUAGUGCCAUCAUGAUACUCGUAUGUCUAGUUAGUAUUAUACCAUUUUAGAUAUGGGGGUUGAAAUGGUUUCUAGAUAAUCAAAAUAAUUUGUCCAAUAUUGACCAAUCUUUCAAAUAUCUCUUUAAAAGAUAAAGGAAAGAGCGAUAUAGUUUUCUUUAACUAUUGUGACUUUUCAUAUAUUUUCUUAUUAGAUGGAACCUGAUUAGUCAUUUGAGGAGAAUGAUUAGGAUGCUAAGAUAUAGAAUGAUCUUGAUUCAUACUUCUCAUAUAGGAGUUAUCUUUUUAUUUGUCAAACGACAUAGCAUUAAACCUCUCUUCUUUAUUCCAGAUCCUUCUCAAUUUCAAUCCUUGCUCCACACUCUCUACUGUCGUUUUUAUCUCUAUUAAAUAAGCUCAUGAAUUACAAGUUAUGUAAUCACAAUAAGGAGUCUUUGAAGUAUUGAUGAAGAUGGAAUUGAGCUCAUUUUAUAGUAGUGGAGCGUAAACUUGGGUUGUCAUUUGUCGCAGCCUCAUCGCAUAUUCCUUGACUGACUCAUCAUUUCUCAUCUCAAUUCUUUGAAGGUCUAACCUGGUUAGAGCCAUCUUUAAGUUGAAUCCAAAUUGUUGCAGAAAUGCAUCAACCAAGUAUUCUUAUUUCUUCUUUUCAGAGCCAUUUAAAUCCAAGUUGGGUUUUAAAAUUAUGAUAAUAAUCAUUUUUAUCCUUACAUGUCUUAGUUGUAUAAUUUUAAAAUUAAGAGUUUUUUACAAGAAUAUUUUAGAGAAAAAAAAUAACAAAUAUUUUUUCUAGAGACAUGUCCUCUCUAUACCUUCUAUUUUGGAAGUAUAGACAUUCACUCCAAAAUUAUCCGAGGGACAUAUUUAUUUUUAUAUCUUUGUCUCUUCAACCAAAUAUAUUUAUGUCUUCAUUGUCUUCAUCUCUUUUGUUUCAGGACAGUAACCAAACACUAUUUAAUAUACACUAUUUAAACUAUUUUUAGUGAUUUGGAUAUUAGUUAUCUUUUUUGAAUAAAAUUUUAAGAGUCAAGUUUCUCUAUACAACUUUACUAUUUUAUUGUUUAAAGGGUUUUUAAGAAGUAAUAAACCCUAAUACUUUUGGUAAGCUGAAUCAUUUGUAUAAAGAAAGUAUCAUUGUUAACUUGAAUAUUUCAAAAGCUUAAACACCUAAAAAAUGUUAGACUGACAAAUAGACUCCUAAGUAACUAAAUGCUUUUCCUAUGGCCCUUUGAAUUACCCUAUCAUAAUAGAAAGUGAUUCAUCAUGCUAAAGAUAAUCGAGCCGUCUGCCAACCUAACACUACAUUCUGAACUUUUUCCACCGCUCUACUAUAUGUAUUUGUUAACAAGCAUAUGUAACAUAGGAACUCUAAAAUAUUACCCAAUAUUUUUUUGUUAAAGCAAACACUGAAAUGAAUUGAUAUCAAGAGCCACCCUUAAACGAAUAAAACAGUCUGGUUUUUAGCCACACUAACAUUUUUUUACCAAAAAGUUACAAAAGUCCUGUAUGAUAACUUUGAUUUGCUUCAAAUCAAGUUUUGCAAAAAAGAAUUAAGUCACCAACAAAUAUGGAUGACAACUUCACCUGACUCGUUUGCAAUCUAAUGUCAUUCAAUUCAAUUGGAUCAUAUUUUUGUCUAAUUUAUUUGAAAAACAAAUAAAAUUCAAUUCAAUUUGACUAAAGAUGGAUGCGUAGAUUAAUAAAUGGUUCACUUGACCCAUCACUUGACUCAACUUCUACAUGGUUUUUUAACCCUUUUAUAUUUUGUAAAGUUGUAAUUUAUAUUUCAAUAUAGUAUAUGGAUUUUUAUCUUAUUAAGGAUUGUUAUGGUUUUACAUAUAGAUAUAAAGUUUAGACUCUAUUUUAUUGUUUUAUGAUUUAUAGAUGGAUAUUUUUUUUUAAGCUUCAAUUUUAUUUUUUAAAUUUUGAUUAAAAAUAGAACAAUUGGAUCAAAUGAGAUACUUGUCGAAUGAAGAAAGUUCUUCAUCCACUCCAAUCUAAUCCAAUCGUAUAGAAGAUGAAGUCAAGUGCUGGAUUUAGAUAUCUCUGGUUAGAGACAAGAGAGCAAAAUUCAGUUGCAACCCAAUCUAUUAUUGUUUCUGUAAAUAACGAAAAGAUGAGAAAUAAUCGAACUUUUUUACUGAAAUAAACAAAUUCACUCUCUAGUCUCAACCGUAUUGGAUCAAUUUUUCUAUACAUGAAACAAAGGUAUAAGAAUAGAGGAUCUUCUUGUUGAAUACUUUGUGAUGAAGUAUAGGAAUUUGAAAUCUUAGCUUUCCAGCUCACUUAUAACAAAGUCAUUGUGAUACGCUUCAUGAUUAACGAAGUGAAACUAUCUAAAAUACCAUAUCCCUAAUAGCAUUUAGGAUCAAGUCCUACCUCAAACAAUCAUAAACCUUUUUUAGGUCUAUCUUAAUUAUCAUCAAAUAUUUUCUAAUUUUCUUUUAUACAUCUAGAGUUAAGAGCCAAUCAUAUAAUCAUAGUGGUAUUAUUGUGCUUCUUUGAAACAACACAUUGGUACUGACUAGCCAAUAUGUGCCAGUCAAGAGUAUUUGUUAUGAAACUCUGUGUAAACUUCUUAAUUGGUUAGCAUUCUUACUUCAAUGUAAUUAAUUUUUUACGUUCUGAAACUCUCAUAUGAAGCACAUCACGCAUUGCUUUCUUUAUACUUAACUUUUCUUAUAUGCAUGUCUUAUGUGAUAAGGAUAAGGAAAAUCUUCAAGUUUUCUAGUUUGUCGUGUUGGUAACAGACUAUUAACAUAUUUUACAAAAAUAAUGAUAAAGUUAUCUUCAGAUAACUUUUUCUACUCUAUCUGAAUUUAUCUUUUAAAUAACCUAAACUAAUCAGAUAAUUAGAGAGAAGAUAAUGCUAAUUAAUCUUGGUAAACUUCUAUCUUAGCCAAAUUAUCCUUUUACCAACCAUAAAAAGAUCACUAAUCUAAACUAAUAAAAUGACAAUUAUUACAAAGUUGAUCCUGCUAUUCUCUUAGGUCAUUAUCAGAAGGGGGAAAGUAAAGGUCUAAAGGCAAAAGGUCCAAACUUCUAUAUUUAAAAUUAGUUGAAAAUCACACCUUUUUUCUUUAUAAGUGGCAUGUUGAUGACAACUAUGUCACAUUUAGAAAGCAUUAAAUCUAGAUCCUCCUCAAACUUUUUACCUGUUAUAUUCUCCAACUCUUUCUCCAUCUUAAGUUUAUUAUGAUACAGUAGAGUGCAACUGAAAAGCUUCAAACGUUGGAGUAAAAGCCUUCUGAUGCGUCUAGCACCAAUAGUUCCCACCAUCUUACCUUCAAGAUUGUAAGCCCUGUAUGCAAUAGCUGCCACAUUCCACUCUUAUUGAUUGAUAACUUGAUGCUAUCUAAGUAAGAAAUUUUAUACAAGAACAAGGAUUCUCAUGAGCUCAUUUUUUGCAACUGAGACAACAUUGCUUCCUGUGACCUUUAUAGCAGUUAACCCAGCAAUAGCUACUACCUCCAAAUCUAUAUGAUCAGAACCAAUUCUAGUAAUGAGAAGCGCUUUUUUGCCCUCUUGAUCCUUUAUGCCGUAACAUCUGCGGGGUGGAAAGGUGUAGUGAUGAGGACAUGGAGAUCAAGAAUAUGCUUGUCAAGUUCUAUGACAAUUAUACAGUUGAAGAGCAAAAAAUCAACAAUCUAGCCAUCCUAAUAUUCUUGGAAAUAAAAGGCAUAAAUCUAAGAUCUUGAAAUCAUUUAAUGUCAUCACUACAAUUAGGACAUGGAGAUCAGCAGUUAAUCUUAUUGUUAAAGUAAAGGUCUAAAGGAAAAGGAUCCAAACUUCUAUAUUUAAAAUUAAUUGAAAAUCAUACCUUAUUUUCUUUGUAAGUGACAUGUUGAUGACAACAAUGUCAUAUUAAGAAAGCAUUAAAUCUAGAUCCUCCUUAAAAUUUGCCCAUGUCUGAUUCUCCAGCUCUGGCUCCAUCUUAAGUAUAUCAUGAUACAGUAAAGUGCAAUUAAAAGGCUUCAAACGUUGGAGUAAAAUCCUUUUGAUGCGUUAGCACCAACAGUUCCUACUAUCUUUCCUUUAAGAUUGUAAGCCUUGUAUGCAAUAACUGCCACAUUUCACUCCUUAUUGAUAACUUGAUGAUAUCCAGGUAAGAAAUUUCAUACAAGAACAAGGAUUCUCAUAAGCUCAUCUUAUGCAAUGGAGACAACAUUAAAAAGAGUGAAGCACUUAAUAACCUAUAUAUGCAGGAAUACAACUUCAACAAAGAACCUUAAUGCUUAAAAACAACACACUUACAAGCUUGUAGCUCCUCAUACUUUCAGCCUCGUGUGAAGAGAUGGACAAUGAUUGUCAAUGGUGAUCAUAUGCUAUAUUUCUAGCCUGUUGUUCAUAAUAAUUCUAUUAAGGAUUAAAUACUUGAUCAUCUUACAUCUUUUUAUGUGGAGGCCUACUUUAGUUUGUGUUAUGCCAGGUGUGUGUAAUGAGACAUAUAAUGAAUGUUGUGCAAAUAAAAUAUACACUCACUACAAUCCAACCAUUCUUUGUCAUCAGUUACAAUGAACUGGUGACCUUGUGAUUCCAGCCAGUCACCAAUGCCCAAAGCUCUUUCCAAGCAACCCACAAAAUUAGUGUUUGAUCAAAUUUUAAAAAUUAAAAAAAAAUUAAAACCUAUAGAGUAACAAUAAAAAUAUUAUUAAAAACAAAAACAUUAAACCUGGAGUUAAGGGGCUUCUUGGUCUUAGCCUUUUUAUAGAAGUUUUAUUUGUUUUUAAUUGCAUCAUUUAAUUUUAAUUUAUCAAAUAUUAUAUUCUCCAAUUUGGUGCUCAAUCUUUGGGUUUCAAAUUUUUUUACCUUGAACCUUUUGUAUAAGUUUUAUUAGUUUUCAAUUUCAUCUUUCAAUUUAAAUUAAUGGUAUUAUGUUUUCCAAUUUGGUCUUAUUAUUUUGAUUUCUAAUUUUUUUCUUAAUUGUUUUUGUAAAAGUUAUUAUUCUUUUUAAUUUCACUCUUCAAUCAAAACAUUCUUUUGAUUUUUUAUGUUAAUUUUUAUCCUCAUUCUUUAGAAUUUUUUUAUCCUUUUACUAAAUUGAUUUUUUUUUUCAAUCUCACCCUUCAAUCAAAUAUAAAUUUAUUUUAUAUUUUAAUUUUGAUCCUCAUUGUUUUAAUUAUUAUUUUUUAAUCUUUUUGUAUAAGAAAAAUGGUUUUCUAUAAAUAAGUACAUAGGAUAAUUUUAAUAAAUGAUUAAGUAAUCCAUUAAACAUGACGUGGUAAUAAAUAAGUAAAGAAUAUUGCAAGCACCAAGUUCUAAAAGUCCAUCUUUGAAGAAAAGAAAAAAAAUGAAAAAAUUCAGUUAGAACCAUAAUUAAGUCUCUAAGACAACUAUAUGCCCAUUAUUUAAUGUUUGACAAACAACACAUGUAGAAUAGACAACUAUAUGCCCGUAUUUUCAGUAUUUUCAUUUUUGUUGUGUAUUGCGGGGAAAAAAAAAAAAAAAAAGAACAUGGUCGGUCCGUCUUACAAGGAGAAGGGAAAGUGACCGCUGUCGGUGCUUUCGACGGGGGUUUUGAAAUUACCAGCACCAUCUUUGGACCUUCGAGAAGUCAACUUUCAUUUGAUUUUCGACUUUAUAAACGCGGCUAGCCCACCGAAUUUUAUUAGGGGAAAAGCCCAUUCCUAAGUUGCCAAUGCCAUUAGAUUCUGACUGAUGGCUCGCCUGUUUAAUAAUUUUUUAGUGGCUGACCGACCGAUCCUCGAAGCAGCGGAUCAUGCAAAGCGUCAAAUAACCAAAUGGAAACUGGGUGCUAACUAUAUUUCUGACUGCUAGUCAACUGUCUGUGUGCCCCUCAUUUACGUAUAAAUGAGCACGAGACCAGCUUCUUAUUCAUCAACAUCAAAUCAGUUAUCUCGAAAGCUUCUCUUUAUUUCACAGAGCACAGAGCCAACUCCUGAUUCAUCAAUAUCAUAUUAGUUCUCUCUAAAGCUUCCCUUUAAUUUACGGUUUUAAACCUUCUCUAGUUCUAGUUUGUGAGUAAAUUAAGAGAGACCAAAAAUGAGUGUGGAGAUUUUGGAUGGUGCCACCAUUGUCAACUUUCUGGAGGACGAGGAAGCAUUCAACGCGCAAAUAUGUGACCGCUUCGCCCACCUUGAUUCAGACCAUGAUGGCCGGCUUUCCUACGGGGAAAUGUUGAAGGAGCUGCAGUGUUUGAGGUUAUUGGAAACCCACUUCGGCGUGGAUGUGGAAACAGACCCGGAUGAGCUUGCUCUCGUCUAUGGUUCUCUUUUUGUCCAAUUUGAUCAUGACUUGAAUGGGACAGUGGAGUUAGAAGAGUUCAAGUCAGAGACCAAGCAAAUGAUGCUAGCCAUGGCCACUGGUAUGGGUUUCUUGCCUGUUCAGAUGGUCCUGGAAGAAGACAGUUUCCUGAAGAAGGCUGUGGAGUGGGAAUCUACUAAACUCGUUGCCUGACUAAUUCCACAUCCAUUACCCUAUACAUGACUCAUUAAUUGUCUUCGUUAUUUCUUUCUUCUCCGAAUGCAUUCCAAGUUUAGCUGAAUGUAGCAAAGAAAAUAAAUGAAAUGCUCUGUUAUUGGUGCAAUUUGGCAUCUUAAAACUCGGUUCUCUCCUAAUGCAAUUUGGUCAUGACCAUCCAGCCAUAGUUAAUAUAACGAAAGGCUGACAGAAACACGAAUAUCUUUCCUCUUUCAAGAGGGCUUCAUCAACUAAUAGAUACAUGGGCAGAAGGAUUGAGCUGGAUGCAUCUCAGUCAUCGUUCAAAAUUUAGCUUCAAGGGAAUGGAAUUGGUAGAACAGAGUUGCAUCAGAAUGGAAAAAGAACUUGCGUGUGUCAGGUCCAGGGGAACAGAUAAAAAUUAAAGAAAUAACUGUCCUCGUAUAAAGUAUAGUUAAAUAAAAAUUUCGAGUCGAAUCUGUUGUGCGUCUGAAAACCUAAUUCCAUCAUGAUUUGUUUAGCAUGCGUAUGAAACAAACUUCCCGCAUUGAAAAGAGGGAAGCAAUUAUUUAAAACGGUAGAGAUUGCGUUUCAAUCAAAACGCAGGAGCCAAGCGUUUGGUAAUAUCAAAAACGCUAAAAAUGACCGGUGGGACCCAUGCCAAUUCAUGUUUUAAACGCGACAUUCGCGAAGCAGCUCUAGGCUGCUUUUUGAAAUUUUGUAUUCGCGUGCACAGUGCAAUUCACUUGCACUGUUCGGGUGAUUUUUUUUUAUUUUUUUUUUAGUGUGUAUAGUUUUUGUAUAUAUUUUUUUUUAAAAAAACUAGUUUUACAUUGUCAUGUAAACAAUAUUUUUUUUUCCUGAAAAACUAGUAUAGAGCGAAUUAAAUUCACUCGCACUGUAAUAUCAAAUUAAUUUUAUUCAUGAUAAUAUUUUAUCUAAUUUUAUUGCAAGCUCAAAAAAUUAUAGAAACUGUAGUUCUUGUCGAAUGAAUUUUGUACGUAAUGGAAUUGUAGAUGGUUUAAUGGCAUAAUAAAAAAUAUUUUAUAUAAAGUAUUAUUUAUUUCAUGAAGUAAUAGUAAUGGUUAAAUCUACAAUAUUUAAAUUAAAAAUCAUCAAUUUUAAUAUGUAUAUUUUAAUUAUUUUAUAAUCUCAAUUUGAAAAGUAUUUUUUUAACCAAACACAUUAAACUACUUUUUCUUCAACCUCAAUUUCAACCACAGUUUUAACCAAACACCUAUUUUUUCAAACCAACCUCAACUAAAAGUACUUUUUAUAAAACAACUUUUUUCAAAUCACAACCACAAAAGCUACCGCAAUACCAAACACACACUUAAUAUCCUAUAUAUGCAAAAACGCAACUUGAACGAAGAACCUGGAUGGUUAAAAACAACACACUUGCAGGCUUGUAGCUCCUGAUAUUUUCAGCCUCGUGUGAAGAUGGACAAUGAUGGUUGAAAAAUCUUUGUAUGUUUUAUCUAGGUAGAUUACUCAUAAUAAUAAGAUUAUUUUUAAAAAAUCUUUGUCUUUUUUACCUGGGUAGCUCAUCCAUUGUAAUAAGACUACUCGAAAAAAAUCUUUGUAUUUCUCUACUUGAAUAGGUCACCCAUUACAAUAAAACUACUUUGAAAAGACCUUUGAGUUUUUCAUUUGGGUGGGUCACCCAUGAUAAAUUGAACAUUUCAGAAUCUUUGAAUUCUACCAAUAGACAGGUUGCUUGGUACUACCAUAUCACUUCAAAAGUCUUUCACAAAGAUAAUCUUUUUCUUUAGAAACUCUAUCUCCUUUUUUUUCGAGUACACUUUCUAACCCUCAUUCUUCAGAUAGUGUGCUUUUUAUCCCUAUCUAUUUUUUUCUGAGUGCACUUUUAAGCCCUUACUACAAACAUUUUCAGAAAGAUUGACCAUUUCUUAAUAUGGUGAGUCCAUAAUCUCGUUCUUUUUCUUCAUCUUUACAAAACUUAUUGUCUAAAGUCUCUCACGAGACUUUCGUUAUAAAGAUUGUAAAGAGAGAGGCAACUGUCAUAACUCAUUUCUGGAUUAUUCCCUAAAUUCACAUUUUUUUUCUUUCCAAAAUAAAAGUCAAAAAAGAAAAUAAAGAAAGCAAGAAAACUAGCGACAUAUAGGAAUAUUAAGUUGUGACUUUGGAAGCCUAAUUGUAUCCUAUUUUACCCACAACUGGAGAGACAAUGUAAAUUAAAGGUCAAAUUAAAUGAUUAUUGGAUGAAUCUACUUAAAAAUUAAGCUUGAGGAUAUAAUUAGAAUUUUAAUAGGCCAAUUUGAUUUAAUCAUGGGCCAAAUUGAGAAUUUAAUUAUGUUUAAGAAUUAAUUUGGGUAAUUAAAGGAUUUAAUGAGGUGCAAGAACUUAAUUAUACUUUAAAUAGGUCAAAUUAAUUUUAUUAAGGGCUUAAUUGAUGAAAAUCUAAGUUUAGAAGCCCAAUUUGAGCUUAAUUGAGAAAAUUGGAAUUUUAGAAAACCAAAUAUAAUUUCCUUAAAGUCAAUUGGUUCAAAUUAGGGGUAAAAUCGCAAGAAAAACAAAUUUUUUUGGUCAAUUAAGGGUUAAAUUGAAGAGAUUUGCAACUAAGGACCAUUUUGCAAAACAUAUCGAACUAUGGGGUAAUUCAUGAAAAUCAGGGAUGAAAUUGAAGAAAAUUUAAAGUUUGAUGGUCAAAUUGCAUAAAUCCAAGACCAAGGAUCAAAUUGAAAAAGAUGCUAAAAUUCAGGGCUGAUAUUGAAAUCCAGCAAGGGCAAAAUUGUAUUAAAUCAAAAGUUUGGAGUCAAUUAGGGGUCAAAUUGAAAGAAAUCAAAAGCUGAAGGACCAAAUUGAACUUUGGAAAACUACCUUAAUUUAAGGUCCAAAAUGGAUUUGUUUUUUAACAUUAAAAAAAAAAGGCAACCAGACGACGCAUCGUCUAGUUAAUGUCCAUUGUCUUCUUCUUCUGACCCGAAAACGUUGUUUGGAUGGCUAUUUUUCAUGGGCAUUUAAUACUUCAUCUCUCAAUCAAACCGGACAAACCAUACACCACCAUGAUGAGCUGACAUUAUACUUCACCCCAGAGUGGAUCUCGCCGGCUAAUUAUCCCUACAGCCGCCACAGUGUCGCCUCAAAUUGGUCAAUCUAACUAACAUUUAGCAACCAGCUUUUUCAGGUCAUGAUAACAACUUUGAACCAACGGUUAAGAUCCUUCUGUGUCGAAUCAAGAGCCAAGAUUGGCACUAGUAAAGACAAGAUGUCCAUCUUCCAUGCCCCGAGCAUCAAGAAAUUAGAGCCCAAAUUUGGUGCAAAUAAGUUUUUCUUACCAGAUCUUUUGUUCUUCUCCACCAGCCAUCUUCUUCCUCUUCUUUCGCAACAUCUUCGCUUCUUUCGCAACAUCUUCGCUUCCAGCAAUGCUGCCAACAACACGUUGGCCUUCCUAGCAUUGCUAAUUAGCAAUCCCCCAUAGUUGGUAACCUUUUCUUCCCCUUUUUGGAUGCAAACGAGGCAGCCAUUUGUAAGCAUAACAUUUGGUUCUGCAUGCAAAAUUCAACCACUUCAUAUGGUCAUUGGGUCGGGCCAAUGACCAUGUGAAGAUAGGUUGGACCCCUUCCAACCCAACCCAUGAUGGCUUGGUUAAGUACAGCCCAUAAAAAAGGAUGAAGGCCAGGUCUGUUGGGCUGCCUGGCGCCACGACCUGACCCGGCAAGGUCCGGCCCAAAUGGCUGGGUAGGGCCCAGCCCAAUAUAUAUAAUAAUAAUAUUAAAAUAAAAAUAAAAACUUUGAAAGCCCUUCCAAAAAAUUUGUGAUUUUCUCGCACGUUUUUCUAUCAAUUUUGCAUAAUAUCGGGCUGUAUAAUUACACUAUAUGAUACAUAUCCGAUAUUAAAACACCUAGUUUUUUCUGAAACAUUUCAAAAUAAAAUUCAAAAUUUUUUAAAUUAAUUUCCUCUUUCAAAAAAACAAAAAAUGUUUUGUUUUCAUGCAUAUAGUCAAAUCCUCAAAGUUUUCCAAGCAUGUUUUCAAAAAAAAAAAACAAAAAAUUGUAUUUUUCUCAUGUUUUAAAAUAUAAAAUAGAUAUCAUAACUAAUUUAUAAUUAUCCAUUAGGGUUUAACCAAAAUGUCAAAAACCCUUCACCAAUUAUUUUUUUCAUUUUAUAUUAUGGUUUAAAUGUAGACUUAAAUAUUUGGGGGCGUAAAACUAUACAGUAGAGUAUACCCUCAGGUAUUAAAGACAAAAGUUCAAUAUAAAUGCGAUACUAAAAUUUAGACUUUAGAACGGUUGGAUUUAACAUCAUAAGGUAUAGAUUUUGUCAUGAAGAGAGAUCUAUCUUAAACCUUAGACGAUUUCAACGAAUAGAAACUUAACUUAGAAUAACAAUCAAAAAACAAUGUACCUUACUUCAGGUAGGCUGCACUGGAGAUAAUGCGUCUUUUCCUUACACAAUCAGUCUCUUACUCAGACUCUCACAGACUAUAUGUUUCCUAGUAACCAUUAUAUUAAAUGGUGACUCUUAAAUCUUAAUUAUAAUUUUAUGCUUACAUCAAAAACUCUUUUUUUUUCUAACAAUACCUUUCAAGAGGCACUUAAAACGCGUCGUUUGACGUCGCCUGUGACAUAAUCCAUUAAACAUGAAAUGGAAAUAAAUAAGUAAAGAAUAUUGCAAGCAUCAAGUUGUCUAUCUCCGAAAAAAAAAAAGAAGAAGAAAAAUUUUGGAACCUUAAUUAAGUUUGUUUAAAUCUCUAUCACACCCAUUAUUUAAUGUUUGACAAACAACACAUGUAGAAUAGGUGAAACCAAACCUACAGUACAAUAUUUGCAUUUUUGUUGUGUUGUGAGAAAAAAAGAAAAGAAAAAGAACAUGGUCUGUCUCGGAAGGAGAAGGGAAAUUGACCGUUGUCGCUGCUUUUGACAGGGGGUUUGAAAUUAGCAACACCAUCUUGGGACCUUCGAGCAAGUCAACUUUCAUUUAAUUUUCGACUUUAUAAACACGGCUAGCCCACCGAAUUUUAUUAGGGGAAAAGCCCGUUCCCAAGUUGCCAUUGCCAUUAGAUUAUGACUUAUGGCUCACCUGUUUAAGAUAGUUCUAAUAAUAAAAUUUUAGUGGCUGACCGACCGAUCCUCGAAGCAGCAGAUUCUGCAAAGCGUCAAAAAACCAUGCAGCAAAGGGUAAUUAGAAGCAAGUCAGAAAAGCAAAAACCAAAUGGAAACCGGGUGCUGACUGCUCGUCAACUGUCUGUGUGCCCCUCAUUUACGUAUAAAUAAGCACAAGACCAACUUCUUAUUCAUCAACAUCAAAUCAGUUAUCUCGGAAAGCUUCUCUUUAUUUCACAGAGCACAGAGCCAACUCCUGAUUCAUCAAUAUCAUAUUAGUUCUCUCUAAAGCUUCCCUUUAAUUUACGGUUUUAAACCUUCUCUAGUUCUAGUUUGUGAGUAAAUUAAGAGAGACCAAAAAUGAGUGUGGAGAUUUUGGAUGGUGCCACCAUUGUCAACUUUCUGGAGGACGAGGAAGCAUUCAACGCGCAAAUAUGUGACCGCUUCGCCCACCUUGAUUCAGACCAUGAUGGACGGCUUUCCUACGGGGAAAUGUUGAAGGAGCUGCAGUGUUUGAGGUUAUUGGAAACCCACUUCGGCGUGGAUGUGGAAACAGACCCGGAUGAGCUUGCUCUCGUCUAUGGUUCUCUUUUUGUCCAAUUUGAUCAUGACUUGAAUGGGACAGUGGAGUUAGAAGAGUUCAAGUCAGAGACCAAGCAAAUGAUGCUAGCCAUGGCCAAUGGUAUGGGUUUCUUGCCUGUUCAGAUGGUCCUGGAAGAAGACAGUUUCCUGAAGAAGGCUGUGGAGUGGGAAUCUGCUAAACUCGUUGCCUGAUUAAUUCCACAUCCAUUACCCUAUACAUGACUCAUUAAUUGUCUUCGUUAUUUCUUUCUUCUCCGAAUGCAUUCCAAGUUUAGCUGAAUGUAGCAAAGAAAAUAAAUGAAAUGCUCUGUUAUUGGUGCAAUUUGGCAUCUUAAAACUCGGUUCUCUCCUAAUGCAAUUUGGUCAUGACCAUCCAGCCAUAGUUAAUAUAACGAAAGGCUGACAGAAACACGAAUAUCUUUCCUCUUUCAAGAGGGCUUCAUCAACUAAUAGAUACAUGGGCACAAGGAUUGAGCUGGAUGCAUCUCAGUCAUCGUUCAAAAUUUAGCUUCAAGGGAAUGGAAGAACAGAGUUGCAUCAGAAUGGUAAAAGAAUUUGCGUGUCAGGUCCAGGGGAAUAGAUGAAAAUUAAAGAAAUAACUGUCCUCAUAUAAAGUCUAGUUAAAUAAAAACUUCGAGUCGAAUCUGCGGUGCGAUUUAACUAGAUUUUGCGAUCUAAACACCAGAUUCCAUCAUGAUUUGUUUAGCAUGCGUAUGAAACAAACUCCCCGCAUUGGAUCAAAAAACAAUGACAUCUCAGGAGAUGGAAUGAAGGAGAGAAUGCUUUCGCCAAACAGCUCAAACAGGGAUACCAGAAGAUGCCCAUUAUUCAAGUCUUCGUUCAAACCUUGUUGAGAAUGUGAUGCGGAACAAUAAAUCAAAAAAUAAAAUAAAAAAUUAAAGCAGUAAAGAAUGAAGCCUUAAAGAAAUAAGUUAAGAAAUAAAAGUAAAGAAAGGGUAAAGCAAAAAAAAAAAACAGAGAGAAUUCAGGAAGAAAAGUCUAUCAUUUUUAUUUAAUCAUAACAAACUUUUGCAAAAACUAAAAGAGAAAUAUAUAAAUAGCAUAACCCUAAAACAUCCGUUUAUUGGGUUCAACUCAUCAAUUAAAAUUUUCUAGUAUAAAUAAGUCAAAUAAAUAAAAUAAAACAAUGAAAUAGGCCCAAAUGGACUCAAUCUUCCAACCAAAGAGUAACAUGCUAGGCCAUUCUAUGUCGUCUCUGUCCAUAUACUCGUGUAAUUUGCAGUGUGGGUCUAGAGUCCCCACCAACUCUCCCAGUGUAGCUCUGGAUGACCCUAAUAGCACUUCCAAAAAUUUGGAUCAAUCUGCUGCAAAGUAUCUAUAGUGAUCCAAAUACAAUUUGAAUCAGGUUGGCCCACCCAAGAAUUAGAAACCGUUGAACCUCACUAUUCCUAGUAAAAAAAACUUGUUCAACCAUAAUGACAUCAAUAUUAUCUUUUUGUGUUUAGAUCAAGGUCAAAGGGGUAGAAGUUUUAAUAAGAUCAUCAAGAGGAGAGUUAGGUGGCAUCUCAAAGGGAUCAUUUGGAAUAGGAUGUUGUUUCUGGUACGCAACUAAAUCCGCAAUGUUAAAUGUAAAGUUAAUGCUAAAAUCAAGUGGUAAAUCAAGAACACAAGCAUUUGGACCAACCCCUUGUAGCACUUUGAAUGGCCCUGCACUACGUGCAUGCAAUUUUUGAUUAGUUCCUAAAGGAAACUGCUUAUGUCUAUUUCGUAUCAUAACUUAGUCUCCUACAUUAAAUUUAUUAUAUCAUCUAUGUAAAUAAGCUUAGAGUUUAUAUUGUGCAUUACUUGUUUGAAUCUGCUUAGUGAUCUCAAUAUGCAAAUUCUAAAUUUUACGUGUAAAAAACUUUGCUAACUCAAACACCUUAGCAUGAAGAGACAUGGGAAGAACGUUUAAAGGUUUCCUAGGCUUGUAACCAUGUACAACUUCAAAGGGAAUCAUGCCAUUUGACAUAUUGACAAAACUAGUAAAUGCAAACUAGGUCAUAGGAAGAACCAAAUCCCAAUUUCUAUUAUGAUAACUCACUAGACACCUCAAAAGGUUGCCUAAUCUGGGUGGUAGGCACUAGAAAACUUCAACUUAGUUCCCACUAUAUGGCGAAGGGUUUUCUAGAAAUAACUCGUAAAUCUAACAUCCUUAUCUAAGACUAUGGUUUGGGGAAAAUCAUACAGCUUGACAAUCUCGUUAAAAUAGAGUUCCCCAACUCUAGAAGCAUCUGUGGUCUUAGUAAAAAGGAUAAAAUGAUCCAUUUUAGAGAAACGGUCAACAACCAUAAAAAAUGAAUCACGCUUCUUUGCAGUACGUGGAAGUCGACACACAAAAUCCAUACUUACAUUUUGCCAAGGGCAAGUAAAACAGGUAACGGGGUGUAAAGACCACUAUUUUGUUUUUCAGACAAUUGUAUAUUAAUGUUAUUGUUAUUAUAUUAUAGUCUACAUCUCUUUUCAAACUAGACUAAAACAAAUUGAUGUUCCCUCUUUUAAAUGGGUUUAUUUCUUCCAAAAUGUUCUGAAAGACCUUCAACAUGAAUCUCUCAUAUCAAAAAUUCACACACGGAUGUUUUCGAGAUAUAAAGCUUAUUAUCCCAAAACAAAUACCCUUCUUUGAGGUGAUAACUAUCUACAACAUGGUUAUUCUCAUCUCUCGAAGUCAUAUAUACUUCUCUAAAUUCUGAGCAAGAUUCAUACUCCUCUUUGAGCCUCUCAAAUCCAGUAACUUCUCAUUACGGAUAACAGUGUUACUCGACGAUUCAAGGCAUCUGCCGUUUUAUUCUAGAUUUAUGUUUCAAAACAAAUGAAUAACCUUGCAAAUAUUCAACCCAAUGACCAUGCCUAUUUCAACUGCAAAUAGAGAAAAGGAACAGACUAUGCGUUUCUAAGGCAAAUAAGGAGCAUAAACAAGUUGUUUUCCAACCCGGUGAUUGGGUUGGGUGCACAUGCAUAAGGAACAAUUUCCUAACCAAAGGAAAUCAAAAUUACAUCCUCGUAGUGAAGACCCAUUUUAGAUUUUUAAAGAGGAUCAAUGACAACGCAUUCAAAAUUGAUCUUUUAGGUGAAUAUGGUGUUACUGCUACCUUUAAAGUUGUUGAUCUUACUUUGUUUGACAUAGGUUUUGAUUCGAGGUUGAAUCCUUUCGAGGAGAGAGGGGAUGAUGUGGAUCAGCCCACAAACUCCAGCAAGAACCCAUUACAUGUUCUAAAUGGGCUAAUGACUCGGGGUAAGACAUAGGCAUUGAAAGAGGCAUUGAAUGCAUUGGUUUUGAAUGUUUCGACCAAGUCAAAUUUGAAGGGUCCAUUGGAGUAUCAAGAGAAGGCCUUAGUACAUCUUAUCCAUGUGCAAAAAGGACCUAAUCUAACCUUAUUUGGGCCAUGAGGUUUCGGUAAUAAGGUUGCCACUUUUCCAAAUGUUCGGUCAGUCUUGUUUUUAUAAUGUUUCUAUGUAUUUUUUAGAUUCCUAAUUAGUUUUGGACUUGCUAUUAUGUAUUAGAACAUUAAUUAUUUCCUUUAAGUAUUAGAAUUUAUUAUUUUAUUUAUUUUCUUGUUAGGUGAGGAGAAAACACAACAAAGAAAACAAAAAAAUCCAAGUUGACUUAGGAAGUGGCGGCAAAGCUUCCUAAUUAUGCAAGGAGAUUAUUCCAAUAACUUCAAUUAUGUUUCCUAAUAUUACAAGGAUCCUAAGAGGUGGCAAAAGAAGGGAAUUAAUACCUUAAAUUACUUUCCUUUCAAAAUAAGAAAAAAAAACAUAAGUUUAAGAUCAAAAUCCUACUACAACUUGCAAACAACAUAGGCGGCUACCUUUCCUUUAGUUUCAAGGAUUAAUGAGAUGUAUGGAAGAUUAUAAAUAAGCCUUGAAUCAAUUUUGUAAUAUUUUCUUUCCUUCUCUUCUUCUCACGGUGAAAUAAAGAUUUAAUAUUAUAGGCUUUUUUAUAUUUUGUUUAGGCUUAAUUAAUAUAUAUAUUUUUAGCUAGGAUCCAAGGCUUGUUUGGAUUAGGGUUUGGGUUUACUAGUAAAGGUUUUGGGUCAGUUUUUAUAUGUGGGUCAGUUUAGCCCCCAAGGGUGGAUUCAUUUAGGUUAAUUUUUUAGAACUAUUUAAACACAUGAAAGCCUAAAUUUCAGCAGCGAUUGAUGAAUAAUACUUAUGAAUUUUUCAAUUUUAACGUGUGAGAGAGAUUCUUGUAUUUUUUGGUUCUUGAACGAAAUGAAUCUAACUUCUCAAAGAUUAAUUGGCUUCAUGGCGUCAUUCGACAUCAUUCCAAUAAUGUUGGUGUCUUAGGACAGGUUCCUAUUGUGUGACACUCCUAUCAGAUCAAUUUUGUCUUUUUAGGAUCAGAUCUCAAUCUUGAAUGUGGAUUGUGUGACCACGUAAUCACGAGGUUCACAUCAGUGUUCAAGAGAUGCUAAUAAAUAUCUUUGAGUGGUAAAGGUAUGUCAAUAUUUGAUACGAGCACUUGAGCAUCCGAUGACAUAAUGAGAUCCAAUUGGACAAGACUCCUAAUCUGAGAGCCAUUUCCCUAUUCAUAUUCUAUCAUGACUUUAGAGUUCACAUUUGGGGUUUCCUCGAAGGUGAUCCAUCUUGCCUCAAUAAGUUUGAGGAACUUGUCUUUAAAAGCAUAACAACUUUGAAUGUUAUGACCACUAGUGCCAUCAUGAUACUCACAUAUCUAGUUAGGAUCAUACCAUUUUAGAUAUAGGGGUUGAAAUGGUUUCUAGAGAAUCAAAAUAAUUUGUCGAAUAUUGACCAAUAUUUUAAAUAUCUCCUUAAAAGAUAAAGGAAAGGGCGAUAGAGUUUUCUUUAACUACUGUGACUUUUCAUAUAUUUGCUUUUUAGAUCGAACCUAAUUAGCCAUUUGAGGAGAAUGAUUCGGAUGCUAAGAUACAUGAUGAUCUUAAUUCAUACUUCCCAUAUGGAAGCUAUCUUCUAUUUUGUCAAAUGACAUAGUAUUAAACCUAUCUUCUUAAUUCCAUAUCCUUCUCAAUUUCAAUCCUUGCUCCACCCUCUCUGCUGUCAUUAUUAUCUCUAUAAAAUAAGUUGAUCAAUUACAAGUUAUGUAAUCACAAUAAUGAGUCUUUAAAGUAUUGAUGAAGAUGGAAUUGAUCUCAUUUUAUAGUAGUGGAGCGUAAACUUGUGUUUCCAUUUCUCGCAGCCUCAUCGCAUAUUCCUUGACUGACUCAUCAUUUCUCAUCUCAAUUCUUUGAAUGUCUAACCUGGUUAGAGCCAUCUUUAAGUUGAAUCCAAAUUAUUGCAGAAAUGCAUCAGCCAAGUAUUCUCAUUUCUUCUUUUCAGAGCCAUUUAAAUCCAAGUUGGGUUUUAAAAUUAUGAUAAUAAUCAUUUUUAUCCUUACAUGUCUUAUUUGUACAAUUUUGAAAUUGAGAGUUUUUUACAAGGAUAUUUUAGAAAUAAAAAAUAACAAAUAUUAUUUCUAGAGACAUGUCCUCUAUGUACCUUCUAUUUUGAAAGUAUAGACAUUCACUCCAAAAUUAUCCGAGAAACAUAUUUCUUUUUAUGUUUUUAUCUCUUUAACAAAACAUAUUUAUGUCUUCAUUGUCUUCGUAUGUUCUGUCUCAGGACAGUAACCAAACACUACCUAGUAUACACUAUUUAAACUAUUUUUAAUGAUUUGGAUAUUAAUUAUCUUUUUUGAAUAAAAUUUCAAGAGUCAAGUUUCUCUAUACAACUUCACUGUUAUUAUUGUUCCAAGGGUUUUUGAGAAAUAAUAAACCCUAAUACUUCUAGUAAGCUGCAUCAUUUGUAUAAAGAAAGCAUCAUUGUUAACUGGAAUAUUUUAAAAGCUUAAACACCUAAAAAAAGUUAGACUGACAAAUAGACUCCUAAGCAACUAAAUGCUUUUCCUAUGACCCUUUGAAUUACCCUAUCAUAAUAGAAAGUGAUUCAUCAUGCUAAAGAUAAUCGAGUCGUCUGCCAACCUUGCACUCCAUUCUGAACUUUUUCCACCACUAUACUAUAUGUAUUUGUUAACAAGCACAUGUAACAUAGGAACUCCAAAAUAUUACCAAAUAUUUUCUAUUAAAGCAAACCCUAAAUAUGAAUUGAUAUCACGAGUCACCCUUAGACGAAUAAAACAAUCUGGUUUUAGCCACACUAACAUUUUUUUACCAAAAAGUUACAAAAGUCAUGUAUGAUAACUUUGAUUUGCUUCAAAUCAGGUUUUGCAAAAAAGAAUUGUCACCAACAAAUACAGAUGACAACUUCACCCGACUCGUUUGGAAUCUAGUGUCAUUCAAUUCGGUUGGAUCAUAUUUUUAUCCAAUUUUAUUUGAAAAAUAAAUAAAAUUCAAUUCAAUUUGACUAAAGAUAGAUGCGGAGGUUAAUAAAUGGUUCACUUAACCCAUCACUUGACUCAACUUUUACGUGGUUUUUUAACCCUUUUAUAUUUUAUAGAGUUGUAAUUUAUAUUUCAAUAUAGUAUAUGGAUUUUUAUCCCAUUAUUCACGGAGGAUUGUUAUGGUUUUACAUGUAGAUGUAAAGUUUAGACUCUAUUUUAUUGUUUUAUGAUUUAUAGAUGGAUAUAUUUUUUUUUUAAGCUUCAAUUUUAUUUUUUAAAAUUUGAUUAAAAAUAUAACAAUUGGAUCAAAUGAGGUACUUGUCGAAUGAAGAAAGUUCUUCAUCCAAUCCAAUCGUAUACAAGAUGAAGUCAAGUGCUGGAUUUAGAUAUCUCUGGUUAGAGAUGGGGGAGCAAAAUUCAGUCGCAACCCAAUCUUUAUCGUUCUUGUAAAUAAAGAAAGGAUGAGAAAUAAUCAAACCCCUUUACUAAAAUAGACAAAUUCAUUCUCUAGUCUCAACCGUAUUGGAUCAAUUUUUCCAUACAUAAAACAAAGGUAUAAGAAUAAAGGAUCGUCAUAUUGAAUACCUUGUGAUGAAGUAUAGGAAUUUGAAAUCUUAGCUUUCCAACUCACUUAUAACAAGGUUACUGUGAUACGCUUCAUGAUUAAGGAUGUGAAACUAUCCAAAAUACCAUAUCCCUAAUAACGUUUAGGAUCAAGUCCUACCUCAAACAAUCAUAAACCUUUUUUAGGUCUAUCUUAAUCAUCAUCAGAUAUAUUCUAAUUUUCUUUUCUACAUCUAGAGUUAAGAGCCAAUCAUACAAUCAUAGUGGUAUUAUUGUGCUUCUUUGAAACAAAACACUGGUACUGACUAGCGAAUAUGUGCCAGUCAAGAGUAUUUGCCAUGAAACUCUGUAUAAACUUCUUAAUUGGUUAGCAUUCUUACUUCAAUGUAAUUAAUGUUUUUACAUUCUGAAACUCUUAUUUGAAGCACAUCACGCAAUGCUUUCUUUAGACCUAACUUUUCUUAUAUACAUGUCUUAUGUGAUAAGGAUAAGGAAAAUCUUCAAUUUUCCUAGUUUGUCAUGUUGGUAACAGACUGUUAACGUGUUUUGACAAAAACAAUGAUAAAGUUAUCUUCAGAUUACUUUUUCUACUUUAUAUUAACUUAUCUCUUAAAUAAUCUAAACUAAUCAAAUAAUUACAGAGAAGAUAAUACUAACUAAUCUUGAUAAACUUCUAUCUUAGCUAAAUUAUCCUUUUACCAACCAUAAAAAGAUCUUCACUAAUCUAAACUAAUAAAAUGACAUUUAUUACAAAGUUGAUCCCGUUAUUCUCUUAGGUUAUUAUUAGAUGGGGGAAAGUAAAGGUCUAAAGGCAAAAUGUCAAAACUUCUAUAUUUAAAAUUAGUUGAAAAUCAUACCUUGUUUUCUCUGUAAGUGGCAUGUUGAUGACAACUAUGUCAUAUUUAGAAAGCAUUGAAUCUAGAUCCUCCUCAAACUUUGCUCCUGUUUGAUUCUCCAACUCUGUCUUCAUCUUAAGUCUAUCAUGAUACAGUAGAGUGCAAUUGAAAGGUUUCAAACGUUAGAGUAAAAGCCUUCUGAUGCAUCUAGCACCAACAGUUUCCACUGUCUUUCCUUCAAGAUCGUAAGCCCUGUAUGUAAUAACUGCCACAUUCUACUUCCCAUUGAUUGAUGACUUAUGAUAUCCAGGUAAGAAAUAUCAUACAAGAACAAGGAUUCUCAUGAGCUCAUCUUUUGCAACUGGGACAACAUUGCUUCUUGUGACCUCUGCAGUAGUUAACCAGGUAGCAGCCGCUGCCUUCAAAUCUCUAUGAUCAGAACCAAUUCCAGCAGUGAGAAGAGGUUUGUUGCCCUCUUGAUCAUUUAUGUCGUAACAUACGCAGGGUGGAAAGGUGUAGUGAUGAGGACAUGGAGAUAAGGAAUAUGCUUGUCAAGUUCUGUGACAAUUACACAGUCGAAGAGCAAAAAAUCAACAAACUGGCCAUCCUAAUAAUCUUGGAAAUAAAAGGCACAAAUUGAGCAUCUUGAAAUCAUUUAAUGUCAUCACUACGAUUAGGACAUGGAGAUCAGCAGUAGAUCUUGUUGUUCUCUUAGGUCAUUAGGGAAAGUAAAGGUCUAAAGGCAAAAGAUCUAAACUUCUAUAUUUAAAAUUAGUUGAAAAUCAUACCUUGUUUUCUAUGUAAGUGGCAUGUUGAUGACAAUUAUGUCAUAUUUAGAAAGCAUUGAAUCUAGAUCCUUCUCAAACGUUACACUUGUCUGAUUCUCCAAUGUGGCUCUAUGUUAAGUCUAUCAUGAUACUGUAUAGUGCAAUUGAAAGGCUUCAAACGUUGGAGUAAAAGCCUUCUGAUGCGUCCAACACCAACAAUUCCCAUUGUCUUUCCUUCAAGAUCAUAAGCCCUGUAUGCAAUUGCUACCACAUUCCACUCCUCAUUGAUAACUUGAUGAUAUCUAGGUAAGAAAAUUCAUACAAGAACAAGGAUUCUCAUGAGCUCCUCUUCUCCAACUGAGACAACAUUGAAAAUAGGGAAACACUCAAUAUCCUAUAGAUGCAGGAACACAACUUGAACAAAGAACCUAAAUGCUUAAAAACAACACACUUGCAGGCUUGAAGCUCCUUAUAUUUUUAGCCUCGUGUGAAGAUGUGGACAAUGAUUGUCAACGGUGAUCAUAUGCUAUAUUUUCAGCCUCUUGUUCAAGGUAAUUCUAUUGAGGAUUAAAUACUUACUCAUCUUAUAUCUUUCUAUAUGGAGGCCUAUUUUAGUUUAUGUUAUGUCAGGUGCGUGUUAUGUCAGGUGCAUCCUCCAUGAAGAAAAAAAAUGAAAAAAUUCAGUUAGAACCAUAAUUAAGUUUGUUUAAUUCUCUAAGACAACUAUAUGCCCAUUAUUUAAUGUUUGACAAACAACACAUGUAGAAUAGACAACUAUAUGCCCGUAUUUUCAUUUUUGUUGUGUAUUGCGGGGAAAAAAAGAAGAAGAAGAAGAAAAAGAACAUGGUCGGUCCGUCUUACAAGGAGAAGGGAAAGUGACCGCUGUCGGUGCUUUCGACGGGGGUUUUGAAAUUACCAGCACCAUCUUUGGACCUUCGAGAAGUCAACUUUCAUUUGAUUUUCGACUUUAUAAACACGGCUAGCCCACCGAAUUUUAUUAGGGGAAAAGCCCAUUCCUAAGUUGCCAAUGCCAUUAGAUUCUGACUGAUGGCUCGCGUGUUUAAUAAGUUUUUAGUGGCUGACCGACCGAUCCUUGAAGCAGCGGAUCAUGCAAAGCGUCAAAUAACCAAAUGGAAACUGGGUGCUAACUAUAUUUCUGACUGCUAGUCAACUGUCUGUGUGCCCCUCAUUUACGUAUAAAUGAGCACGAGACCAGCUUCUUAUUCAUCAACAUCAAAUCAGUUAUCUCGAAAGCUUCUCUUUAUUUCACAGAGCACAGAGCCAACUCCUGAUUCAUCAAUAUCAUAUUAGUUCUCUCUAAAGCUUCCCUUUAGUUUACGGUUUUAAACCUUCUCUAGUUCUAGUUUGUGAGUAAAUUAAGAGAGACCAAAAAUGAGUGUGGAGAUUUUGGAUGGUGCCACCAUUGUCAACUUUCUGGAGGACGAGGAAGCAUUCAACGCGCAAAUAUGUGACCGCUUCGCCCACCUUGAUUCAGACCAUGAUGGCCGGCUUUCCUACGGGGAAAUGUUGAAGGAGCUGCAGUGUUUGAGGUUAUUGGAAACCCACUUCGGCGUGGAUGUGGA
rnacentral:lncRNA from 1 species